UACAGAGGUGGCAAGCGUUGUCCGGAAUUAUUGGGCGUAAAGAGCUCGUAGGCGGUUUGUCACGUCGGAUGUGAAAGCCCGGGGCUUAACCCCGGGUCUGCAUUCGAUACGGGCAGACUAGAGUGUGGUAGGGGAGAUCGGAAUUCCUGGUGUAGCGGUGAAAUGCGCAGAUAUCAGGAGGAACACCGGUGGCGAAGGCGGAUCUCUGGGCCAUUACUGACGCUGAGGAGCGAAAGCGUGGGGAGCGAACAGG
rnacentral:rRNA from 1 species